GCCAGGCGCUGGGCCAGAGUUGCGGGCUGCGGAUUAGCAGAGGGGGCACCAGCCUGUCCCCCGGGGGCCGCCGCUCCACCCUGGGAUCUCGUAGGAGGUGCGGGGCUUUGCGGCGCCCCCACCCCAGCCACGCCGGGAGCGCAGCCCCGUGGAGCUCAAUGUGGAGCUCUCAAAAGGCAGGAGGAAGAUGAAAACCAGCGCCUGCCAGGUCCCACACCAGGUGCUGAGGACACGAAGAUGAGUAAGACACACCGCUUGCCUCAGGGAGGUCCCGUUCUGUGCUGUCAAAUCACCCAGAGUGCAAGCUGACACUAAUUGACUGCUUACCAUGGGCUAGAUGCUGUUCCAGACACUUUACAUGUAUUUAUCCAUUUACUCCUCACAAAACCUAAAGAAGCAGGCGUUUUGUUAUCAUCUCACUGUUAAUCGGGCACUGAGACGGUAAGUGACUUGCCCAGGAUCCCUCUGGUUCCUGAGUCCAGGUUCUCAGAGACCCUCAAGUCUCAAGGACUCAAAACAGGCAGGCUACCCAGACUUCCUCCCACACACAAGGAAACCGAGGCCCAAAGAGGAGAAGUGACUUGCCCAACGCCACGCAGAAAAGUGGCAAGGCUGGAACUAGACCCCAACGAACAUCCUCACUGAAACAUCCAGCUGCCCUCUUUAGCUGUGUGGAUGCUCCUCACACAUAUUCCAAGACAUGAAGUGAGAAACAUUUUCUGGCAUCUGGAAACUUCCUGUUUGCAAGGACCACCCAAUAGACCUACAAGGAACCAUGGAGAGAGUGAUUUAAGGAAAGAAACAAAAUGAACUCCAAAUCAGAGAGCUGGGGGACAUUUCGGUAUCAGUGGCAUUGGGAAUGAGUUUCUUUAAGUUAAAAAUUUAUAUUUUAGUAACCAGAAAUGUCCCAUGUCUAUCAGAUGGAGUUUUACCAAUUUUCAAGGAAUCAGAAAAUGAUCAGGAUGACUACAUUUGAUACUGAACAAUGCUGAAUACCGAGUGAGGUUUUGUGGCUGUGGGUCAUUGCCAUACACAUCAGUUAGCGUGGAACCACCGGUGAGCAGAGGCCUCCAUUCUCCACCUGGACUUGCAGCCCAUGGCAUGACAGCCUGGAACAGAACACCCAGUGUGAACAUCAGGAACCAGAAGAUGCUUGGUAGCACACAUCAGAAAUGGCAGGAGAACCCUUGCUGGGUGUCAGAGCCCAAGUGACUGUGCACAGAGUGCUUGAUCAUGAAGUUAUUCUGGUGCCCCAGCCAGAAUUCCCAAACCUUAAAAAAGCAAUUGCAAGUGUCUGCAACAGACCUCCUCGUGGAAAAGCAAACCUCACAAAUAAAAUCUAGGGUUUGAAAAUAAAAUGUCUGGCCUAAUUCGAUGGUGACUGCCUUCCAGGUUGGUUUGUGUAGGGGCACUGGGACAUCGGAGCUCUGGUUCUUAUUAGAAUUCUCCUGUGCUCUCAGGAUGGGCAAACCUGGCUCAUUGCAGACUGGACCCACGGCAGGGCUGGGAAAGGGCCCUCAACCGGGAGUCAGGGACCUCAAAUGUACCAGCCAGCAGUGGCACAUCGUGUCUCCGAGAUUCAGGGCGGGGGACAACAGAAGGAAGAUGAAAAUAUUCCCUAAUACAUCUGGAGGAUUCACGUUACCCAUGCCAGGAGAAUAGCCAAGGAAGGAAACCUCAGCUCACGCCCUUCUGCAUUCUUUACAAGGACACACGGGAGUGGGGAGCGUGCCCUGAGCAGAGCGGACUCAAGCUUGGGCUCCUCUUUGAGGAGUGCUAAAAAAUCUUGCGCCCUCUGGAUGCUUUUUGAAAUUUCAAAAUGGAUGAAACAGUGACUUCAAAAAAUCAAUGCUCUCAUUGUUUUGAAGACCCAAGGAUAAUGAGGUACACUUAACUGGCAAUCAAGAAACCCUAGGGGCUGGGCACAGACAGCUCAGUCUUGCAAUCCCAGCGCUUUGGGAGGCCAAAGUGGGAGGAUUCCUUGAGGAUGGGAGUUUGAGAC